ACACGUGAGCAAUCUGCCCUCCACAUCGGGAUAACCCCCGGAAACGGGAGCUAAUACCGGAUACGACCACUUCAGGCAUCUGAUGGUGGUGGAAAGUUCCGGCGGUGCAGGAUGAGCUCGCGGCCUAUCAGCUUGUUGGUGGGGUAACGGCCCACCAAGGCUUCGACGGGUAGCCGGCCUGAGAGGGUGACCGGCCACACUGGGACUGAGACACGGCCCAGACUCCUACGGGAGGCAGCAGUGGGGAAUAUUGGACAAUGGGCGAAAGCCUGAUCCAGCAACGCCGCGUGAGGGAUGACG
rnacentral:rRNA from 1 species